CUCGAACCAGCCAUUGCCAUGGAGAAGGACGUCCAGUAGGGGAGGCCGGCGAUGGAGGGGGGAGCGGCGGGGACAGAAGCACCGGCCAUCGGGGACCUCUCGAGCCGUCGAGCGCGACCUUGAUCUGGUGUAGGGGAGCAGCAGCCGCAGGGGGCUCCAACCUCUUCUUCGCGGGAGGCGGCAGGCGCAGCUCCUCCUCUCUCCCCCCACACGACAGCGACCCCAACCCCCACCCCAGCCUUGUUUGGAGGAUAUCGUCAGAAUCAGCUUCCUUGAUAAUUAUGUCAAAAUUUCUGGGAUUUGUGAUUCUUAUCGAAUUAAGAGAUCAUCUGUUGGCCUGUCCCUAUUUAUGAUUUCAGAUUAUUUUGGUGCACUUCAGUUUCAGAAAUCCGAUCCGUCACCCCUACUCUGACCUCGAUGGACUAUUGUUGUCGUUGUCCUCUGCCUUGCCCAGGACAAUGAUGGCCGGGUGAGCCAGAGACAAGCUGAGGAUCAACUAGCAGUUCUUCCCAACGACAAGACCACAACAGCAACAGAUGACGAUGUAGUUGAGUUCUAUAACGGACCAGCUUCAGGCUUUUGUACUAAUUUCUUGAUUACCUCACCAUGAUUGUUGUAGUUUUGUCCUCACAGGAGAACCUUAUUUUCUUCAGAUCUAUAGGAUCAAGAUAUGCAAUUUCAAUUUUGUAAUUAUAUACACUGUUAACUUGAUGCAAUAAAGAAAGAAGUUCCACAAGCUCUUAAUUAUUGAAGUUACUUGUGUAGUCUGCAAUUUGAUAUUUUAACAUGUGCACUGCAAUUGGCAACACUUCGAACAAAACCUUCGGUUUCUUUUCUAAGGAAUAUGAUUGUUGCUUCUAGACAUGCCGCUAGGUAUAUAUGAUCCAUGUUUUCCAUUCCCCCUUUACUUUCUUUGUUUAGUUAUGCAUGUAGAAAAGCUCAUGUAUGAAUCUGACUUUAUUAUGCAGUCUCACACAAAGGAAGAGAGAAUAGAACUUGAUGUCAACGACCCUAGAGGUAUGGAAAUAAAAACACCAGAGUGAAACUCCAGAGCUCUGCAUCCAGAGCAACGAUGCCGGCACACACGCCAGUUCUUUGUUCAUCUCAGUCGGCGAUUAUUUCAUUUUGUCUACGGCGAUGGGGUAGCUUCCUCUGCUCCGUUCGUGUGUUUGACGGACAAUGUACUGGUCUGAAGGAAAGCCUUUUUUAUUUUUCAAGAUGAUGAACUGCAUUAUUUCUGGUCCUACUCUGCCUCUCAAUCAUUUCUUUAAACCAAGUUGAUGACCGAGCAAAUGCACUUCACAGAAGGAGAACGGACAGCCUUAGAUAACAUUGACUGUUCUUUUUGGAGCUCCUACAAAAUGAAGACAUCAUUAAAUCAAUCGUUGUUUUGUUCGACGUUGAAGAUGUCAGCUAAGAGGAUUUUGAGUACUAUUCUGCUCAUUCCAAAAGUAUGCAAGCCACACGAGGAGUGAUAUAAGAAAGAUGCUCUCAAACCGGAUCUCGGUAGUGAGAUGCAUGGAAAGGAAAUCUAAGAUUAACCUAAACAAAAACUGCAUGUAGUGUAUAACGACUGCGACUGUCCAAGAUUGCAGUCUCUUCCAGAAUUUCAAUUGGUAAAAGCUCAUCCAUAAGAAAUGUGUAGCAGGGUAAAAGUCUGAUAUCUAUUGGUGAGCAGGCACUUUAUUUAUGAAGCAGAGAAAGCGAUCUAGCAUUUUAUUUGUGAAGAAGAGAAAGUGUAAGAAGGCAAGUGAGGUAUAUGUGCUCAAAAAGACACGCCAUCAAAUGUUUCCAUGUUAUUGCUGAACAUUUUUUGGUCUUUAUCCAACUGGUUUUUAUCAUAUCAAAUUACUGCAGAGCGUACUGAUUUUUUUGUCACCUAGCAACGGUGCCUUUCAGUUCAACUGGCAGUUUAAACCUCUGAAGGUUUAAGGUGAACAAUGAGAUAUUUUUGGGUUUGUUUGAACUGUUGUGUCUGUCCACUUGAGUGCCUCCAUAUGUGGUUCUCCUGUUGCAUUAGUUAUA